rnacentral:tRNA from 1 species
GGACUGUUGCUCAAUGGUAGAGCGCUCGCCUAGCACAUGCGGGGGCCCUGGGCUCAAUCCUCAGCACCA